GAUGAACGCUGGCGGUAUGCCUAACACAUGCAAGUCGAACGGGAUUCUUCGGAAUCUAGUGGCGGACGGGUGAGUAACGCGUGAGAAUCUGCCUUCAGGAUGGGGACAACAGGAGGAAACUGCUGCUAAAACCCAAUGUGCCGAAAGGUGAAAUACUUGUAGCCUGAAGAGGAGCUCGCGUCCGAUUAGUUAGUUGGUGAGGUAAAGGCUUACCAAGACAAUGAUCGGUAGCUGGUCUGAGAGGAUGAGCAGCCACACUGGGACUGAGACACGGCCCAGACUCCUACGGGAGGCAGCAGUGGGGAAUUUUCCGCAAUGGGCGAAAGCCUGACGGAGCAAUACCGCGUGAGGGAGGAAGGCUUUUGGGUUGUAAACCUCUUUUAUUAAGGAAGAAGAAAGUGACGGUACUUAAAGAAUAAGCAUCGGCUAACUCCGUGCCAGCAGCCGCCGUAAGAC
rnacentral:rRNA from 1 species